AUUAAUGAUAGUAGUUUUGGCUUGUGUGUUCUAGCUGUUUACUGGUGUACUUCACUUUUCAGAAGGCGGACAUGAUUGCCACGGGCAGCCCCUGCCCUUUGUGCAGAGAUGAGUACCUUGUCGUUCAUCACACUAACACUAAAUUACUCACUCAGUUCAUUUCACCAUACACAGGAGAAACUCUGCAACCACAAAAAACAGGUUUGUGCAGAGAAAAACAGUUCCAGCUUGAUCUGGCCAUCUUAAAAGCCAAAGAUUUAGGUGAGUCAUUUUCACAAGUCCUCUUCCAUUUGCCACUAUGUGCAAAACCUCAUUCAUAGCACAGUAUCCGAAUGAAAGUUUAUUGCAGUGGUAACCACAUUGCUUAACAAGUGGUUAACCCUUUCUGUUGCAACUUUUUUUGAAGCGAAGCUUUAUAGGCUCACAAGGGGUGGUGGUGGUGGUGUCACGCUAAAAAGUGGGCCGAUCCUGGUGAUAGUGCAGAAAGGGUCCAAGCUCAAUGGCACAUACCGCUGUCAUGUGAGCCCAUCCUGGUGAUAGUGCAGAAAGGGUACAAGCUCAGUGGCACAUACCCCUGUGGGCUCGGGGACCUGUAGCACACCCUUGAACAACCCGUGUCGCACGUGGGACCCAAAGGGACAAAAUCACCAGCCCUUUCCCUGUCGAGAAAAUGGGGGCAAGUGAAGCUUGUCGUCUGAUUCUAUCAUGAGGGCUUCCGACGCCCAGGCGAAACGUCAGCGAACAGCCGCGGACCCCGAGUUGCGGGAGCGCGAUGUUGAGGCCAAACGUCAACGAAGAGCCGCCAACCCUGAGUUUAGGUCAAACAAAGCGGAAUGCCUGCGACAGCGUCGUCCU